rnacentral:misc_RNA from 1 species
ACUCUUCAACCCACUGGUUUCUUGUAGACUAGCUGCUGGUGUUUGGAUUUUGAACGUUGCUGGUCUUCGGACGUAGCUCGUUCGUAAUACAUUAGCAUCUCUAAUUCGAAUUCGGAUUGACUCAGUGUAAUAGACUAUUCGCUGAGGACACUUUUAUUAGUGGCCGAACAAGAUAAUUGUAGAAGCUUCAAACCUCUAUAGUCAAUUUUGG